GAACGAACGCUGGCGGCAUGCCUAACACAUGCAAGUCGAACGAGACCUUCGGGUCUAGUGGCGCACGGGUGCGUAACGCGUGGGAACCUGCCCUUAGGUUCGGAAUAACUCCCCGAAAGGGGUGCUAAUACCGGAUAAUGUCUUCGGACCAAAGAUUUAUCGCCUUUGGAUGGGCCCGCGUUGGAUUAGCUAGUUGGUAGGGUAAAAGCCUACCAAGGCGACGAUCCAUAGCUGGUCUGAGAGGAUGAUCAGCCACACUGGGACUGAGACACGGCCCAGAUUCCUACGGGAGGCAGCAGUGGGGAAUAUUGGACAAUGGGCGAAAGCCUGAUCCAGCAAUGCCGCGUGAGUGAUGAAGGCCUUAGGGUUGUAAAGCUCUUUUACCCGGGAUGAUAAUGACAGUACCGGGAGAAUAAGCUCCGGCUAACUCCGUG
rnacentral:rRNA from 1 species